rnacentral:rRNA from 1 species
GACGAACGCUGGCGGCGCGCCUAACACAUGCCAGUCGAACGAGCGAGAGAGAGCUUGCUUUCUUGAGCGAGUGGCGAACGGGUGAGUAACGCGUGAGGAACCUGCCUCAAAGAGGGGGACAACAGUUGGAAACGACUGCUAAUACCGCAUAAGCCCACGACCCGGCAUCGGGUUGAGGGAAAAGGAGCAAUCCGCUUUGAGAUGGCCUCGCGUCCGAUUAGCUAGUUGGUGAGGUAACGGCCCACCAAGGCGACGAUCGGUAGCCGGACUGAGAGGUUGAACGGCAACAUUGGGACUGAGACAAGGCCCAGACUCCUACGGGAGGCAGCAGUGGGGAAUAUUGCACAAUGGGGGAAACCCUGAUGCAGCGACGCCGCGUGGAGGAAGAAGGUCUUCGGAUUGUAAACUCCUGUUGUUGAGGAAGAUAAUGACGGUACUCAACAAGGAAGUGACGGCUAACUACGU